rnacentral:rRNA from 1 species
AAGAGUUUUUGAUCAUGGGCUCAGAUUUAAACGCUGGCGGCAGGCCUAAACACAUGCAA